UUUCGUGAUGAUCAUUUCGUAUAAAUAUACGCUGGAAAUUACCGGCUGAGAUUACUCUUUGACGAUAUUAAAUGGCUUUGUCUGACU
rnacentral:snoRNA from 1 species